AACGAACGCUGGCGGCAGGCUUAACACAUGCAAGUCGAACGCUCGUAGCAAUACGGGAGUGGCGGACGGGUGAGUAACGCGUGGGAACGUGCCCUGAGGUACGGAAUAACUGCGGGAAACUGCAGCUAAUACCGUAUGAGCCCCGUGAGGGGGAAAGAUUUAAUCGCCUUAGGAGCGGCCCGCGUCGGAUUAGCUAGUUGGUGGGGUAACGGCUUACCAAGGCUUCGAUCCGUAGCUGGUCUGAGAGGACGAUCAGCCACACUGGGACUGAGACACGGCCCAGACUCCUACGGGAGGCAGCAGUGGGGAAUCUUGCGCAAUGGGGGCAACCCUGACGCAGCCAUGCCGCGUGAAUGAUGAAGGCCUUAGGGUUGUAAAGUCUUUUGCCCGUGACGAUGAUGACGGUAACGGAGAAUAAGCUCCGGCUAACUUCGUG
rnacentral:rRNA from 1 species